rnacentral:rRNA from 1 species
UACGUAGGGGGCAAGCGUUGUCCGGAAUCAUUGGGCGUAAAGAGCGUGUAGGCGGCCUGGUAAGUCCGCUGUGAAAGUCCAGGGCUCAACCCUGGAAUGCCGGUGGAAACUGUCAGGCUCGAGUCCGGAAGAGGCGAGUGGAAUUCCUGGUGUAGCGGUGAAAUGCGCAGAUAUCAGGAGGAACACCAAUGGCGAAGGCAGCUCGCUGGGACGGUACUGACGCUGAGACGCGAAAGCGUGGGAGCAAACAGG